UGCGAUUCGCGAUCCGAUUAAAGUUUAUUUUGAAAAGACUCAGUUCGUUCAUGAUGAAUCAGACACCGCUUCUGCGUGUCGGAGCACGUGAUAUAUUAUAGGGAGUAACGAUAUGUUUUAUGAAAUGUAAUGAAGUUAAAAGUACGAUCUUAUGCUUUGGAAUGUAGUGAAGUAAAAGUAAAAGUUACUCAAAAUAAAACUACUCCUGUAAAGUACAGAUACUUGAAAAAUGUACUUAAGUACAGUAACGAAGUAAAGCUACUCCGUUACUGUCCACAACUGAUAGUAACAUGGCAUGCAGGUUAACAAAUAACAUGUUAUCUUUAAGUAUGUUUACUGUUUAAAAUUGUACUCAAAAAAUGAUAUUGUAGAUCACAUAAAUAUUACAUUCAUUAAAUGUUACUAUGACAAGUACAGAAGUAAUUGCUUUAUGAAUAUAACUCAAAUUGAAAAGACAAGGAAAGUUGUGCGAAAGUAAGCAUGGAAUGAAGCAAUGCAAAAUGAGGUGAGUGUCUGAGAUAUUUAUUGUCUCUGGAUGAGAACAGCCUCCAUGUAUGUCCAGUUCAUACAAUGAUCAGAGACUGUACCAGUUAGUUCAACUCUCUCAUCCAGUCUGAAACAGACAGGGACUUUACAUGAUGAUCAAUAUAUGUGGAAACAUCACAAAAGCAAAUCAAAGCCAUAUAAUAACAUUGGUGAAGAUGAGACACAUGAUUUCUUAUCCAAAUGUAAAAAUAAUAUUCUUGGAGUAGCUGCUGACCUAUGUCCAAGAAGACUGCAUCAGAACACUACGUUAAGGUUUAUGCACCAUUUUAUUAAACCAAUUACAAAAAAAUUGAUUACAAUAUAACAUUUUCACUGCAAGAAAAUUGUUUUCUGUACCCUAUGCAUGUGACUUAUAUAGGUAACAGAAACACUAAAAACAAACUAAAGUUUUUAUAAAUGACACAGGAUAGCUAGCCUAUAGCUAUAUUUAUUAGGCGGCAUACAGUAUAUAUUUGUUUCAAGCAUUGUCAUGAAUACACUGCAGUAAUAGUCACCAGUAGCCUAACUUAUCUAAUCGUUUAAACAGCAAUUAAUGCCCCACAAAUGAAAUGUAUAAAAAGCUAAACACAUAAAAAAAUAUGAUUAAGAAACUAUAAAUCCCAAGGUUAGCAUAGGUUAUUCGCUUAUUGUUUUUCUGUGUGCCUGCAAUCGAUCAAGCAAAUCAGCUUAACAGACGAUUAAUAUUACACAAACUGCAUUGAUUUGACACUGUUACUGUUCCAGUGCUUAACAUUGACACUUCGUUACCUUUUCAAAAUAAUCCAAGUAGUGCACUGAUUAGGGAACAAAUGUUUAUUCAUGUAAACUCCACCGAUGGGAACAGUUUUUCAUGGGAACUGAAUAUUACACAACACUGGCAGGGGCGCUGCACAAGAUCCCGGGCCCUAUGCAUAGGCAGCGCCCAUGCCUAUCCAUACAGCUAUGAUUCGCGAUCCCCAAACUGACUCAAAUGAUUCGCGAACCCGCUUUGAACUCCCUAAAUGACUCAAAUGAUUCGCGAACCCGCUACGAACUCCCGAACUGAUUCAACUGAUUUGCGAUUCCCGAACUGCUUCAAUGAUUCGCGAACUCGCUCCGAACUCCCGAACUGAUUCAAAUGAUUCGCGAUCCCCAAACUGACUCAAAUGAUUUGCGAACCCGCUAUACGAACUCCCGAACUGCUUCAAAUGAUUCGCGAUCCCCAAACAGACUCAAAUGAUUCGCGAACCCCCUUUGAACCAUAGACAGUAAAAGAAAUGGACACAGGGACCCCAUUGGAUUCAACGGAGAAAAAUGAAAUCAAUUAGAAGCACGCACUUCCUGGGGGUCAGGCAUACUGCGCAGACUCAAACUGAGCUUGAUCACGUAGAUGUCACGUGAGCAAUGUGUAAGUCUUCUAAGGCGAGCGUGAACAGGAGAAAAUUUUGGUAAGUAUUCUGAUUAAUUAUCUCUCUUGACUUUAUGCCUCCACGACCCUCGAUUGCCUCAGUAAAAGAUUGCCUGCGAGCUUCUCCUCCUGUCCAUAUGGUAAUUUCUCUACUGUGCGACAGAGAGUCGCUGGUUAUGAUGCAAUAAUUAGCCUAUUUUUUACAAAAACUGCUUCUACGGGACCAUAACGUAAGAUACAAGGUAAUGGAGCCUUUUAUACAUGUUCUGUUUCUUAAGAAAUAAUUAAUGGACAAAUUGAGUAUUUAAACGCCUCAGAUGUAAAGUUAUUCGCUGUCAAAGUGACGCCAAAAUGAAUGGAAGUCAAUGGAAUGCUAACAGCAGGUGGGGGUCUGCUAGCCAAUGGCGGCACCCAGGGGUCGAUUCCCAACUCAUAAUGAUUCGCGAUCCCGCUACGAACUCCCGAACUGAUUCAAAUGAUUCGCGAUUCCGCUUUGAACUCCCGAACUGAUCCCCGUCUGCUGAUUUAAAAUAAUGUUCUGACGGAAAUAUUGUUGUGGUAAGUCAGAUAAAUAACUUUUUUAAAGUAAUUUACUUUUUAUAAGUUCUAAACCCAUUAGUAAUUAAGUUGUCAAAGCUUCUGCUGCUUCUUUACACUAAAACACGAAAGAGCCUGAACCGCGACAGUGUCACAAGUUGCCUUACAUUGGUAAGUUUUGUUGUGCUUGUUGCAAACUGUUGAAUUUUGUGAUUUCUGAUCCUAAGCUUAGUUUGAUCCUAGGCUCUGAUUGUGGCAGAUUGGUUAAGUUCCCUCCCAUGCGUUUAAAUUGACAGCCAAUCAGAACCAGGUAUGUGUAAUAUAAGGGCUGGGAGUAGGCCAACUGGGAUGCAUCAUUGCUAGCUCCGCCCCUUGGGGUGUGUGGGCUUCCAUCUAAAAGGUAUGUUUUUAGCUGUUUGGUAAAUAUGACGUGAACUUGUACAUAUCAAAUGAAGUUAUUUACUUAUUGUAGUUGGAAUUAGAUCUUGUUCGCAACUUCGAUGGUGUGUAGGCUGUCAUUACCCUCCACCUGGUUUAUUCACCUGAAUAUGAUUGUCAAGUCAUUGAGUAAACCGCUAUGAUUCAUUCUGUGAUCAACCAUUUUGUCUUGCAGACCAAUUGUCGGCCCCGUGUCUGGAGGCUGGUUGUACUAGAGCCUUGGUGGUGUUUGGAGCACUGAGAUUGGAUUGCCCCUUGUGAUCACUUGCUUCGUGUGUGUGUGUGUGUGUGUGUGUGUGUGUUAAGAAUAAUCACUUUACAGCUAGCCUACCUGGCCACGGCAAACAAAAAGAUGCAAGACCGCAAACUUUCCAGUUCUCCUCUGUACUGAUAAUCCGGUUUCAACCCAGUCCCAGGAGAUUAUAUUAAACCUGGAAAGUAUUGGGGAAGAUCCAUUAGGUUUUCAGGAGCACAUUACUGUGAUAAAUGCUGAACUACGUAAAAGACAACCUGACUACACCAACAUCUCAAAAAUCUAAUGAUAUGCGCUCUUUUUAAAAGAGUUGAUUUAAUGACAAAAUCAACAUGAGAGGUCAUAGAUAUGUUUCCAUUUCUUCGGGUUCCACAACUUCUGCUGCAUGAAGUGAAGAUGCGGUUUGGGAAGGACCUUUAUCUUAAUCUAGAGACUGCUCUUUAAGUUCUGAACGGUUUACUUCAGCAAAUUAACGCAAACACAAAGUAUGUUUUUUUUUUUUUCAUAACACUACCAUUUAGUUGCUUGGUUUGUUGAACGGUUACUGUAAUCGAUUUAUACCAUGGUUUGUCUGAAUAUCUGAUUCUGAUUGGCUAAAAGUGUUCAUUAAAAUACUUUGAUUCACAGGUAGUUCCAGUCAGUUUAAUUACAAUUAAAGUUUAAUGUGCUGCUGCAAUGACAUGCAUGCAAACAAGACACUUGCACAUGGAGAUCAGAGAUUUAAGUCAAGUCACCUUUAUUUAUAUAGCGCUUUAAACUAAAUGCAUUCAGUCAAAGCAACUGAACAACAUUAAUUAGGAAAACAGUGUCAAUAAUGCAAAAUGAUAGUUAAAGGCAGUUCAUCAUUGAAUUCGGUGAUGCCAUCUCUGUUCAGUUUAAAUAGUGUCUGUGCAUUUAUUUGCAAUCAAGUCAACGAUAUCGCUGUAGAUCAAGUGACCCCAACUAAGCAAGCCAGAGGCGACAGUGGUAAGCAACCAAAACUCCAUCGGUGACAGAAUGGAGAAAACCUUGGGAGAAACCAGGCUCAGUUGGGGGCCAGUUCUCCUCUGACCAGACGAAACCAGUAGUUCAAUUCCAGACUGCAGCAAAGUCAGAUUGUGCAGAAGAAUCCUCUGUUUCCUGUGGUCUUGUCCUGGUGCUCCUCUGAGACAAGGUCUUUACAGGGGAUCUGUAUCUGGGGCUCUAGUUGUCCUGGUCUCCGCUGUCUUUCAGGGCAGAAGAGGUCCUUUCUUUGUGCUGAUCCACCAUCUGGUCUGGAUACGUACUGGAUCCUGGUGAAUGCAGUGACCCUCUGAUCUGGACACAGACUGGAUCUGGUGACCUCGGUCAAUCUAGAUUUAAACUGCAAGAGUGUGUUUGCCUCCCAAACAAUGUUAGGUAGGUUAUUCCAGAGUUUAGGCGCCAAAUAGGAAAAGGAUCUGCCACCCACAGUGGAUUUUGAUAUUCUAGGUAUUAUCAAAUUGCCUGAGUUUUGCUGACAUAGAGGAUUAUAAU